GCAAGUCGAGCGGAAAUGAGAAGUAGCUUGCUACUUCGGCGUCGAGCGGCGGACGGGUGAGUAAUGUCUAGGAAAUUGCUCUGACGUGGGGGCUAACCAUUGGAAACGAUGGCUAAUACCGCAUAAUUCCUUCGGGCCAAAGAGAGGGAUCUAAGGGCCUUUCGCGUCAGGAUAUGCCUGCGUGAGAUUAGCUAGUUGGUGGGGUAAUGGCCCACCAAGGCGACGAUCCCUAGCUGGUCUGAGAGGAUGAUC
rnacentral:rRNA from 1 species